rnacentral:rRNA from 1 species
CUUAAAGGAAUUGGCGGGGGAGCACCACAAGGGGUGAAGCCUGCGGUUCAAUUGGAGUCAACGCCUGAAACCUUACCCGGAGAGACAGCAGAAUGAAGGUCAAGCUGAAGACUUUACCAGACAAGCUGAGAGGUGGUGCAUGGCCGUCGCCAGCUCGUGCCGUGAGAUGUCCUGUUAAGUCAGGUAACGAGCGAGAUCCCUGCCUCUAGUUGCCACUAUUACACCCUGGUGUAGUAGGGCGAAUUAGGGGGACCGCCGCAGUUAAUGCGGAGGAAGGAAGGGGCCACGGCAGGUCAGUAUGCCCCGAAACUCUGGGGCCACACGCGGGCUGCAAUGGUAACGACAAUGAGUUCCAAAAUCGAAAGAUAGAGGUAAUCCCUAAACGUUACCACAGUUAUGAUUGAGGGCUGCAACUCGCCCUCAUGAAUAUGGAAUCCCUAGUAACCGCGUGUCAUUAUCGCGCAGUGAAUACGUCCCUGCUCCUUGCACACACCGCCCGUCGUUUCAUUG